rnacentral:lncRNA from 1 species
CUUGAACCUGGGAGGUGGAGGUUGCAGUGAGCCGAGAUUGAGUCACAGCACUCCAGCCUGGAUGACAGAGCGAGACUCUCUCUCAAAAAAAAAAAAAAAAAAAUCAAACACUGGGCUGGGCAUGGUGUCUCACGCCUAUAAUCCCAGUGCUUUGGGAGGCUGAGCUGGAGGCCAGAAGUUCCAGACCAGCCUGGGCAACACAGCAAGAACCUGUCUCUUCAAAAAACUUAUGCACAACUCUAGCUCACUGCAACCUCAAACUCCUGGAUUCAAGUGACCCUCCCACCUCAGCCUCCUGAGUAGCUUGGACUACAGGGAUGCCACCACCCCAGCUCAUCUGCAGCAUCCCAGUCAUCAGUGCCACUGGAGACCUUGAGGAAGGGGGUCCCUUUGAAAUUUGGUGACCAACAUCCAUCCAUCUCAGCUCUGUCCUGGAGGUCAGCUAAGAUCAUGGGGGGGUUGGGUGCGUAUCAGUUGUCAGGCCUCUGAGCCCAAGCUAAGCCGUCAUAUCCCCUGUGAC